rnacentral:rRNA from 1 species
GCUUACGACCAUACCACGUUGAAUGCACGCCAUCCCGUCCGAUCUGGCAAGUUAAGCAACGUUGGGCCUGGUUAGUACUUGGAUCGGAGACAGCUUGGGAAUCCCAGGUGUUGUAAGCU